rnacentral:rRNA from 1 species
UACGAAGGGGGCUAGCGUUGCUCGGAAUUACUGGGCGUAAAGGGCGCGUAGGCGGACAGUUUAGUCAGAGGUGAAAGCCCAGGGCUCAACCUUGGAAUUGCCUUUGAUACUGAUUGUCUUGAGUUCGGGAGAGGUGAGUGGAAUGCCGAGUGUAGAGGUGAAAUUCGUAGAUAUUCGGCGGAACACCAGUGGCGAAGGCGACUCACUGGCCCGAUACUGACGCUGAGGCGCGAAAGCUAGGGGAGCGAACGGG